UACGUAGGGUGCAAGCGUUGUCCGGAAUUAUUGGGCGUAAAGAGCUCGUAGGCGGUUUGUCACGUCGGCUGUGAAAACCCGAGGCUCAACCUCGGGCCUGCAGUCGAUACGGGCAGACUAGAGUAUGGCAGGGGAGACUGGAAUUCCUGGUGUAGCGGUGAAAUGCGCAGAUAUCAGGAGGAACACCGAUGGCGAAGGCAGGUCUCUGGGCAUUAACUGACGCUGAGGAGCGAAAGCAUGGGGAGCGAACAGG
rnacentral:rRNA from 1 species